GGCCAGUUAGCUCAGUCGGUUUGAGUGUGAUGCUGAUAACACCAGGGUCGCGGGUUCAAUCCCCAUUUGGUCC
rnacentral:tRNA from 1 species